UGCAGUCGAACGGUGAAGCCAAGCUUGCUUGGUGGAUCAGUGGCGAACGGGUGAGUAACACGUGAGCAACCUGCCCUGGACUCUGGGAUAAGCGCUGGAAACGGCGUCUAAUACUGGAUAUGAGACGUGAUCGCAUGGUCGUGUUUGGAAAGAUUUUUCGGUCUGGGAUGGGCUCGCGGCCUAUCAGCUUGUUGGUGAGGUAAUGGCUCACCAAGGCGUCGACGGGUAGCCGGCCUGAGAGGGUGACCGGCCACACUGGGACUGAGACACGGCCCAGACUCCUACGGGAGGCAGCAGUGGGGAAUAUUGCACAAUGGGCGAAAGCCUGAUGCAGCAACGCCGCGUGAGGGAUGACGGCCUUCGGGUUGUAAACCUCUUUUAGCAGGGAAGAAGCGAAAGUGACGGUACCUGCAGAAAAAGCGCCGGCUAACUACGUGCCAGCAGCCGCGGUAAUACGUAGGGCGCAAGCGUUAUCCGGAAUUAUUGGGCGUAAAGAGCUCGUAGGCGGUUUGUCGCGUCUGCUGUGAAAUCCCGAGGCUCAACCUCGGGCCUGCAGUGGGUACGGGCAGACUAGAGUGCGGUAGGGGAGAUUGGAAUUCCUGGUGUAGCGGUGGAAUGCGCAGAUAUCAGGAGGAACACCGAUGGCGAAGGCAGAUCUCUGGGCCGUAACUGACGCUGAGGAGCGAAAGGGUGGGGAGCAAACAGGCUUAGAUACCCUGGUAGUCCACCCCGUAAACGU
rnacentral:rRNA from 1 species